rnacentral:tRNA from 1 species
GCCUCGGUGGUGUAGUCCGGUAAACUUUUUGCAAGCAAAAGUUUAAUCAAAAUGCGGUCAAGUGGGAUUAAAAUCCCACGAGCAAUGCUAGAUACAAAAAGUUUGGACAAACUAUCAUCCAGCACUUUCGAUGCUGGGACCCGGGUUCGAAUCCCGGCCGAGGCA